GUAUGGUGCGCUAUCUGUUUUAAUAAUUCGCAAAAUAGACUAAACUGUCAUGUCGUAGUUUUUAUAUUUUUCGCUAGAUGGCGCUACCAUGUUUUUAUUCCAUUUUCAAACUAGCGGUUCCACGUUCCUAUUGCCAACUGUUUACCUUUCAACACCAAAUAAUCGCUGCAGUGAUUCGGAACAUAAGAACAGCGAUAGCAGUAACGAGACAGCACAGUGAUGUACUGGAAACGAACCUCGAGCUGAAUAAGGAGGGAGACAAUGGACGCAGCGGUACCACCGCUGAUCGUAGCCAGAGCAGGAGUUCCAGAGGUUUCAGACACAGUAGCCAGUUGUCU